rnacentral:lncRNA from 1 species
GAAAUGACUGAGCAGGAUUUACACUAAAUUUAUCCUUGUUGCGCGGAUAAAGCAUACCGGCGGGUAAAAAUCUUGGAACACACUCUGUGUGAAUGUACCGAUGUAUGCAAGUUGGAACGAGAAGAUAUUAUGAUUUUUAUCCAAAUGUUUCAAAAUCCUUUUCGAUAUAGAAUGCUAAACAAUGCUUAUUCCUAUGUAUUUGUCCGCAAGAAAUGACGGCUCUAAAAACAAGGGCAUUUUGACUAGUUCCAGACCCUCUGCUAUGAACAAUUUCGCGCGGUCAUAGAGUCAUCAUU